rnacentral:lncRNA from 1 species
GGGAGGGGGAGGAAAAGUUAUUUGUAUUUGAUAAACUGAUAAAAAUAAAAGCCGAUACUUUACACACAUGCUAAGGCUUUGCUUAAUUGAAAGCUUAUUAUUUCCUGGAGGCCUGAAGUGCUUCAGCUGAGGACUGAAGGGUGGAGCAGAGCUUCAUUAGCAGCCCCAGCUGCCACCUGGGAUGGGGAGUGUGAAAUGGCAGCAGGAACCGCAGUGCUCUGCCAGCUUCCCUCGGCUCCGCUUUGGAUUAAAGCAACCAGAACUGCAGGAAAGCGGAGCAGAAUUCUGCAGCGUCUGACUAAAGAGAGAACUUUGCGCAUGGGGCCAAAGAAAUACAUUUGCUAUUCUUAUGGCACCUUGCAGCCCAAGCAACCAAGUCCUACCAGCUGAAGAGACCAGACCGUGUUUGGCUGGGGGACCGUCCGGCCAACUUGGCAAGUGGUGGACAUGUGAAGAGGGGCAAAAGAAUAAUCGCUUUUUCCUCACCUCAGUGCUGAGUGAAUAAAUAGAAACAGUUACCAACGCACCCUGUCCUUCCUUCCAUCAAAAAACAAAGACAAAAACCAAAACAAAACAGGGUUUAUUUGCACUCCUGUAAUGAUAUCCGUCUGGGAGAACAACCAAGGUGUCAGAGUAUCAAAGUGAAAUUCAGAAAAGUCAAGAGCAAGUAGGGACUUGAAGGGGCAAAACGGAAGUCGGAAAAAAACCACGCCGGUCUUUAUCAUGGUAAUAGUAAUGAAGGCGAGCUGAAAAAGCCCAGACAAUGGGCUGAGUUACUGUACUAUAAACCGCUUCCUGCCGCUGGGCUUCACAAGUCACUUUCCUGAGCUGAUUAGGGAGCUGCAGAGCCUCUCCGUUGUGUCUGAGCCCUGGGGAAGCUUGCCGAGCCGUAGGGUUUUUGUCUCUCAGAAUUCUUGGUUUAUUUCUGAGAAAUGAAAGAGGAGACUGAAGAAGGGAUCUGCGUUCUUUGGUUUACUGUUCGCAGAUGAGGGGGGUGUUUGAACGGGCAAAACAACAUCGCUUCUGCAGAGAGCCGCUCCGCGGGGGGCUGAGCCUCCUAUGCCGGCUGCUGUGUGUGCCGGCCGCGCUUGGUGCAAGACGUAGCGUUCCGAUUUCUACUGCAGGCCUCCCCUCUCUCCAAGUCCUCAGCUGUUCUGUGCUGGGAACGCUGGAGAAGGACGUGAGCCCGGUUCCCAAAGCGUUCGGUGAGAAAUAAGUUCACAGCCCAGGCUCCAGCAGCACGGGAGAUUGCUUUCUGUGAAGCUGCCUUGUAAGUUUGCUGCCUCUGUGUAUGCAUAUCCCUUCAGGGGAUCUAGCCCUUCAAGGGAGCAAUCAGGCUUCUAAUCAAUUAG